UCUACACAAACAUUUGAAUAUUCGUUCAUUCAUUUGGAUUGAAUUUCAAAUGGAAUUUUCACGUACGUGUUCGGAUGUGAACAUGACGAGUGGGCCGGGCAAGGAUUGCAAUCCUUCGCUCUUGACACGUGGAUAUUUGCGGAGCCAGGAUCGAAUCUCCACCCUUGUAGCCGAUAAUCUCCCUCAUUUUCUUGAGUGUCAUGUGCUCCAUGAGGAUAAAGACGGGCGAAAUCUCGUAGGUGAACAUGUUGGUGUUGGCCGUGGCCGUCAGCCACUCACCGGCCAUGGAAAUGACGUCAACUCCAUUGGACAGUUGAUUGAAGAAACUACACCCAUCAAGAGACACACAAUCCCCCCUUCUGGCAAAGAAAAUCUAUUCUUUGCCCUUCAGAGGAGAUAACACCCAAAUGUUUAUAGAUGCGGAUGAGACCUGUCAUCAACGCGGUCCCAGGAGAACCAACCACACCCCCACUAUUUACCAUUUCGGAGCUCUGCCUUCCAUUGUGUUGGCCCCCAGGAGGGGAGAUCAAUCUCCCGAUUUGUGAUCCCUCUUUCUCACUUUACUUGAUCGCAGACUGUACGGGCUGCUCAAGCUGCUGACAUCUCUCUCUCUCCACCCCUCAGCUUUCAAUAACGUGUUGUACGUCGUCGUCGGCUGUCGCUCACUUCUUUCUUCCAACACUUGGAAUAAAAAAGCAAGGAGUGAACGGGUCGUGGCAAUCCGCGUGAGACGCUACGCAGCUGCGGGCGUGAGACGGACCGUCUUGAAUGCGGACGUCAAGCGGAAAGACAAAGGAUCAAAAUCUAUUCCACCCACCCACCCAAAAAAGACACACGGAUGGAAAUCUAUCAAUCAACCGAUUUUGAUCCUUAUAGAUGUGAUGUACUGGUUGGUUCCCGAUUACCAGCGACUGUGUUCUUGAUCGAUCCGCAAAAAUUCUCUCGCUCCUUUUUUAUUUCCGUCGAGCUCCUAGAUGAGAAAACAAGGAGCCAAUCGAAUGGAUAGCAGCUGCUUCCAUCUCUCCCCACCCCACCCCAUAUGGAAAAGCGAAGGAGGCCGAAACCACGAAACGCAACUUUUCCAUCAGACGCCCAUUCCCUUUGAAUAUUAUUACAUACGCCAUGGAAAAAGAGUGGAAAAUCUUAUUCGAGAGAGAGGAGCUGGAAGCAUAUUAAAAUGGCUGCACCGAGAGGCGGCAGAAGGAGCCUCAACUGGAAAUGUCAAACACUCGUGGCCCCCCACCCGAGUUAGUAGUAUUGUAGCAGUGAUUGGAGGAUCGGGUCCGGCGAUAAGAGUCUGAGGGAUAUCAUCCACUUCAUUUCCUCCUGCGCUGUCCAAUUGUUUGGUGGGCGCACACACACACAACUGACACGCCAUUUCCACCCACAAGGAUGAAGGGGGGGAUCCCUCCAUCACAUCCGCCUACACUCCUAUACCUCGGAUAGGUUUGACAUUUCGGGUUAAACAGCAGCUGCGGUUCGUCACAUAUAUCCGAAAUAGAAGGUUGUAUCAAUAUUAUUCCAUCUUGUUUAGAAACGCCUAAACUACUAUUUAAUCCACCCUAUUAAUUCAGCGUGGCAAGGAUCUUUUUUCUUUUGUGUUUGAGCUGCGGCUAAUUG